rnacentral:rRNA from 1 species
GAUGAACGCUAGCGGCAGGCCUAACACAUGCAAGUCGAGGGGCAGCAGGGGUAGCAAUACCCGCUGGCGACCGGCGCACGGGUGCGUAACGCGUAUGCAAUCUACCUACAACAAGGGGAUAACCCGUUGAAAGACGGACUAAUACCCUAUAAAACAGGGUUUCCGCAUGGGAAUAUUUGUUAAAGAUUCAUCGGUUGUAGAUGAGCAUGCGUUCCAUUAGCUAGUUGGUGAGGUAACGGCUCACCAAGGCAACGAUGGAUAGGGGAACUGAGAGGUUUAUCCCCCACACUGGUACUGAGACACGGACCAGACUCCUACGGGAGGCAGCAGUGAGGAAUAUUGGUCAAUGGACGCAAGUCUGAACCAGCCACGUCGCGUGAAGGAAGACGGCCCUAUGGGUUGUAAACUUCUUUUGUAAGGGAAUAAAAGGAGUCACGAGUGACUUAUUGCAUGUACCUUACGAAUAAGGAUCGGCUAACUCCGUGCCAGCAGCCGCGGUAAUACGGAGGAUCCGAGCGUUAUCCGGAUUUAUUGGGUUUAAAGGGUGCGCAGGCGGGAGAUUAAGUCGGCGGUGAAAUUUUGCAGCUCAACUGUAAAAGUGCCAUCGAUACUGGUUUUCUUGAGUGUGGAUGAAGUAGGCGGAAUUUGUGGUGUAGCGGUGAAAUGCAUAGAUAUCACAAGGAACACCGAUUGCGCAGGCAGCUUACUAAACCAUAACUGACGCUCAGGCACGAAGGCGUGGGGAGCAAACA